UAUUACAUUUUAUUUUUAGGUGUCUUUCAGGACACUCAAGAUUGCCGUACAAGGUAAAAGGUAAAAAAUAAGUUAAAAUACACACAUACAGAUAAAACCCACAACAAUGUUAAAUUAAAAAGAAUAAUGGAAUUAUGAGGAAGAAAGCCUGUCUGAAUAAAUAUGUUUCAAGAUGUUACUUGGCUGAGAUUGUAAGGAAGUCCAAAGUAUUGUGCGGCCUCAUCAACAUCAAAUUAUAAUCGAUAUAAGGGUCAGCAGGGAUGAAAUCGAACUACAUAUUCACACACAUUCAGUACUAGCCUACAUUCUAUAAUGAAGUGGAACACUGAUAAAGGUAUAGUUUAUGGUUUUUAUUUAAAACUGUAUUUUUGAUGACUGCUGUUAGUUAAAACGUCCACUAGAUGGCAUUAUAUGAUCUUGCAUUGCACUAAAACCAGGUAUAUGAGCGUUGCAUUUUGGGAAAUGAAGAUGCUAUGAACGCUAAUGGAGAAAACGCUAACGCUAGCGCGACCUCUUUCAAACCAAAGAAAAACUGACGAGUUCCAGACUGCUCUAAUCAGCGAAUUACAUCUGAGUUCUGUGUGAUACAAGUGUCUGACAGAAUUGAUGUCAAGGAGGAUUCGGCCUGAUUCAAUGAGGGAUUGAGGACCAAUUUUUUUCAACUUCAGCCAACUGUUGGAGCAUCACCCAAAGCAGAUAAGGUCGUGGAGGAAAAGACGUUAGUUUGACCAAUAAGCUACAUUGUAGCUUAUGACACAAUUGAAGUGGGCGUCAACUGUUCCUCCGGCUUUUGGCACAUUUAAAUGGAGGCCAGUAUCCGGACGAGUCCAGGUUACCUGCUGAUAUCGACAAAGAGAAGCACAGGAUAAAUUGCCACUCAGUGACGGUAUGAAUGUGGGUGCCAAUGGUCGUCUGUCUCUUUGUGUACCCUGUGAUUAAUCAUUUCAGCGUGCUGCCCGUCUUCCAUUGCAAGUAUUGGUGGCUCGGUGGUAGAGUUUUCGCACGCUGCGCGGGAACCCCGAGACUGAUGCCCGGGCACGCCGAUGCAUCUUGGGGUAGCCUUUGCAGCUAGCCUCGCAUCGGGGCAACAGUUCCGCUACGACAACGCGAGCAGACCAGGAUAUACGGUGUUGGAAAUGUCCCACACUACAACAAAUCAUUAUUUUAUCCACACUGGUUUGAGUGCAAUAUUGUUGUGGUUGGUUCGUUGUUUAAAAUGUGUAAAAGAAAUAAUGUUUGUUUUGCAUGUGGGAUGAGAAUUCAGUAAAACGGCAUGUGAGGGACUAACUUGUCCCCCCCCUCCACAGUACUUAAGUUACUGAAUAUGUAUAUAAAAAUGGAUCUUAAGCUACUAUACCGAGUGUGGUUUGAUUGUCAAUAUCAGUUUGCAUAUGACUGAUGAAAAAGGUAAAAUUUCAGAUUUGAAGAAGUCCAUUGGAACUGUUUUGAAAUAAAAAAAACCAUCCCACCUUGUUUCCAAUUGCCAAAUAUAUAUGCCUUGUAGACUGAAGUGCAAAUUGUGUUUAUUCACAGAUGCAAGACAGUGUUAAAGUAUAAGAAUAAAAUGUCGCAGUAAGGUUUAUUGACCACAUAUUAUAUGUACAUAAUAUAAUUAUAUAUAAGGAAUGUUUGUAUAUAUAAUUUAUGUUUGUACAUAUGAUGUAUGUGUGUAUGUGCAGGGUGAUUCAAAAACAAUGUGCCAAAAUCACACAUUUAUUCCUUUCAAAAUCAUUGACAUAGACUGAAAUGAUUAAUUAAAUUGUUAAUUUGAUAAGAAAGUCUCUUUAUCAAGUAAGUUAACAAAUUUAGUCAUAUCAGCUUGAUUGUCCGUGAUGCUGCUGGUGGUCACAUUGAGCACUUGUAAAGCAUGAAAUAAAAACAAAAAUAUACAAUACUUGUGUCAAUGUAGUUAUUGCCCCCCCAAUUU